UUCAUAACAUUCUGGUCCCAGAGAACAGGAGAGCCAACCAAGACUGGAGGAGGUGGGGUGCCUUUAUCCAUUAACCAGACUGCAGAUUGCAGGGGCAGAAACAGCAAAGAGAAAGGAAUGACAAGGGUCAGAGAGGAAGAAGCGGAAACAAUGAAGAGGUGAUGAGGGAGGAAUAAUGAAGGAUGAGAAAGGAAUGGCACCAUUUCCUCUCUCCUCUCUUCAUUCAAACAACCAGAUGGCUGGAGACUUGUGGACCUAGAAUUACUCCCACUUUUUAAUUUCUUGCUCUCACAGUUUGAACCAAAUUUGGUAGAAAACUUUAGAUUUUUGCUUUUACAAAUAUCAAUUGCUCAUUUGUAAUAAAAACGAUGAUGUUACUAAAACAAAA